AGUCAUCUGUAACGGGCAAGGAGGCGUCAGCGGCCCCGCGGAGGCCCUGGCCGCGCCGCCGAGGGCCGCGGAGCUUUUGCCUGAAUAAGAACUUUGGAAUUUGGUCCUUUUAGCGCUCUGUUUGCAUUGCAGGGAGGAGAAAAGGGGCAUUUCCUCGCCCUGCGCUGGGUCUCCCGUCUCAGAGCGCUGUAAGAAGGGGUGCCUCCGCGAGAGGGAAAGGGCGAAGCACGUGGGGAGCCGCUUCCUGCGCCAGCGAGCGCCGCGGGGCCGCGAACAAAGAGGCUGCAGCGAGCGACGAGCAGAUGGCGGUGCCCGGCCUGACGGCCCGGCCUCGCGCUGCCGCGGGGCGCCCAAGGUGCGCGACACCCAGGACGGAGCCCGCUCGGGCCGAGGGGCCGACCGGGACGGCCGCGGCACGGUGCACCGGCCCCAACCGCCCCGCGCUGCUCCUCGGCCUCGGCCCGGCACCGGCAUCCUCCUCCCGCAACCCUGCCUCCCCCUCCUUUCCCUUGCGCUGAUCCACUUAUUCGUCUGGGCAGUGACCGGAGCUGACCUAAUCCCGGGGCGGCGUUCAUGCUCCGCGGAUCCCCCCGGCAGCACGCUCGCCGCGGGCUCGGCUCCAUGUCGGGGACGGGGCGGGCGGCCGGGGGGAUCCGCGCCGGGCAGGCGCUCUGUGGGCAAGGCCGCUCCGCCGGGCACCGUGCGGCUCCCGGAGGGAGGCUCCAGCCCUAUCCCACGAUGCCUCUCGGCAGGAUUAAGGAGCAUUAUGCCCGUGCCCGCUCAGCCCGCCUGCCGCCGCUCCAGCAGCCCCGACCCCGGCGGCAGCCAAAGUCCUGCGCCGCGGCCCCUCCGGCAGCCCCCGGCUUGCGUUUGCUUUUGGGUUGCAGAAACCGCACAGCAGCUCAAAAAUCGUGUUGCUACCUGACUCCGCUUCAUUUAAUAACCUUAAUUCUGCUACAGCCCCAAAAUACGGCAAACAAACGAGAAAAUGUGUUUAGGAACCUGCCCAGGUGGAAUAAGGAAACAAAAUGGGAAGCUGAAGCAGGGGACCAGCACCUAGUGCAGGAACAGUUUAAUUUAAACCAAGGGCGGAGAAGCAGCCUGAAAUUUCGACGCCGAUGUCCCUGGAUCGCAACAGAGCGGCUCGGGCGCGCUGCAACGUGCGGGGCCGCCCGGGCGGGAGCCCGGCGCUCGGCGGCAGCGGGAUGGACGGGCGGCACAAGCGCGGCAGGUGUGAGUCCGGCUGUUUCCCCACCGCACCCUCACCCCGGUCGUGCUCCCGGUACCCACCGGGCAGGGAGGCCGGGCCGGACCCCCAGAGCCUCGCGGUCAGGCUAAAAUACACAAAACUUGUGAGA